CAGCCGCCGCGGUAAUACGAAGGGUGCAAGCGUUAAUCGGAAUUACUGGGCGUAAAGCGUGCGUAGGCGGUUUGUUAAGUCUGUUGUGAAAUCCCCGGGCUCAACCUGGGAAUGGCAAUGGAUACUGGCAAGCUAGAGUGUGUCAGAGGAUGGUGGAAUUCCCGGUGUAGCGGUGAAAUGCGUAGAGAUCGGGAGGAACAUCAGUGGCGAAGGCGGCCACCUGGGACAACACUGACGCUGAGGCACGAAAGCGUGGGGAGCAAACAGGAUUAGAUACCCCGGUAGUCCCUGUCUCUUAUAA
rnacentral:rRNA from 1 species